rnacentral:lncRNA from 7 species
GGAGAAGAGAAGACCGAGACAAACAUCUGCCUGCUUUUUUUUUGUUCAGAACACUGUUUAAUGAAUACCUGUUUCAACAGUAAGGUGUUGAACCCGUGUAAUCAGUGGUUAAAUGGAUUUGGCAAUAAUUUUCAUCAGGUAGCCACCUACAGGAUCAAACUGUUGGCAUGGCAGCUUGCCCGUGUUAGAAGAUGUGGGAAUCAGUUUUUCAGCUAAUGCUGAUCCUCUGGCCCUACUCCUUAGAAAUAAGUGGACAAGGUACAGUGAAAUGAUUUUCAUCCUCCCCACCCAUCCUCUCAUUUAAUUUCAAACUUUUAUUCUUGACAUGUGAUAAGAGUCUGUGCACAGUCAGCCUUAGUUGCCUUGUAACUGGAGUUUUGUACUGUAGUAGCUUUAUUUGGGAGGAUAAAUGUGUUGAAUUUAAUUUGUUCACGAAGUUAGUUUAUCUCAUGUCAGUGCUAGCUUCCUGGUGUUCUACGUAUAGGUAUGCUCCCCUGUUUUCUCCCUGCUCUUUGACAUGUAUUCACAGCUGGCACUACCAUUGAGCCAUGAGAUGUCACUGCAGGGUUGAAAACUGAAACAGUGACAUUCGAAACACCUCAUUUUAAAUUCUCACAGUUAUGUUUUUAUGAAGGAUUUUCACCUUCCCUUGCUAACUUAUCAUACACUAUUUGCUUAAGGAGUGAGAAUUUCUUGCAUAUGUGGGCUUGAGGCAUAAGCUUUGUAUUAUCACACUGUGGUUGUGCCACAGGACCAUGGUUUUCUAGAGAUGAAUUCAGCAUUUAAUGAAUGGCGUAUAGGUUUGCCUCUCCACCUCUGAUGCACUUGUAAUUUAAAGAGGAGGGGGAAAAUAAGGCAGUUUUUUCAGUUAUCCAUUAGUUUAUUCUUAAUUUUCUUUCUUUUGUGUAUAGAGUUUGUGAAAUGACACAAAACUAUAGUAGGAGCUAUCUAGCACAGAAGUUAUUAGGCAAGCUUACCGAUGCAAGUCUGACUAAUAAACCAAUGUUCUUGGAGAUAUUUUCAAUUCACAUUCAGGUUGAGCUGCCUUAAAAAAAGCAAGUUUGGCAUUUUCCAUGCAUUUGCACUGUAUGUGGUAUAUGUGCAUGCAAAAAAGCUGCCUGAACAGACAAACGUAGUAGUUAAAUAACAGAAAGUUUACUUUAAGUCUGUACUUCUUGUCAGACAAUCUGAGACAAUUUCUAUUGAACUUGAUUUUUUCAUGAUUGCUUCCAGGCACUGGAUUGCUGUUUUCAUCCCAUGCAUUGAUUAAAAAAAGAAAGUAUGCCUUUAAAAGGAAACUCUAGGACUAAAUUUUUUCAUGCAGAUCUUGAACAGCAUUGGAGAACUGCAGUGUUCUUUAAAUCUAAAAUUUAAUUUCUUAGUUCUUUUCUGUACCUUGUUUGUUUGUUUGUUUGUUUUGUGUGUGUGUGUGACCUGUUUUUCGUUAUAAAAAAAAUAAAUGCAGAAAG